rnacentral:rRNA from 1 species
AACUAAACCUAGCCCAACAAACAAAACCAAUAAAAAUACACCCAAUCAUUUAACUAAAACAUUUAUCCCAAAUAAAAGAUAGGAGAUAGAAAUUAUUCUAAGGCGCUAUAGAGACAGUACCGUAAGGGAAAGAUGAAAGAAUAAUUAAUAGUAUAAAAAAGCAAAGAUUAACACUUGUACCUUUUGCAUAAUGAAUUAACCAGAACCCUCUUUGCAAAGAGUACUUAAGUAAAGUACCCCGAAUCCAGACGAUCUACCUGUAGAUAAUCUAAAGGAUCAACUCAUCUAUGUGGCAAAAUAGCGAGAAAAUCCCCAGGUAGCGGUGAAAAGCCAAUCGAGCCUGGCGAUAGCUGGUUGUCCAGAAUAGAAUUUAAGUUCAACUUAAAAUUUACUAAACAGAAAUAAAUACCUAAUCCCAAUGUAAAUUUUAAAUUUAAUCAAUAGAGGUACAGCUCUAUUGAUCUAGGAAAAGCCUCAAUUAGUGAGUAAUCCAAAACCAGCCCCUUAUAGUUGGCCUAAAAGCAGUCAUCAAUAAAGAAAGCGUUCAAGCUCAACAGGACCUACUCUAAAUACCAAAAAUUCCCACAACUCCUAAUUUAAUUACUGGACUAAUCUAUUAUUAUAGAAGGAAUACUGUUAAUAUAAGUAACAAGAAUAUUUUUCUCCAUGCACAAGCUUAUAUCAGAUCGGAUAAUCCACUGAUAAUUAACAAUUAAAUUGAUACAUCCACAAAAUAUAAAUCAACUCAAUAAAUUGUUAGCCCAACACAGGAGUGCAUAAUGGAAAGAUUAAAAGAAGUAGAAGGAACUCGGCAAACACAAACCCCGCCUGUUUACCAAAAACAUCACCUCUAGAAUUACAAUUAUUAGAGGCACCGCCUGCCCAGUGACACAUGUUAAACGGCCGCGGUAUUCUGACCGUGCAAAGGUAGCAUAAUCAUUUGUUCUCUAAUUAAGGACUAGCAUGAACGGCUUGACGAGGGUUUUACUGUCUCCUACCUCCAAUCAGUGAAAUUGACCUUCCCGUGAAGAGGCGGGAAUAAUAAUAUAAGACGAGAAGACCCUGUGGAGCUUAAAUUAUUAGCCCAAUAUAUAAUUAUUACUCCAAUAGGAACAACAAUCAACAAACUGGGCUAAAAAUUUUGGUUGGGGUGACCUCGGAGAACAAAAAAUCCUCCGAAUGRUUAACAUCUAGGCUUUACCAGCCGAAAUAUUCACUAUCAUAUAUUGAUCCAAGACAAUUGAGCAACGGAACAAGUUACCCCAGGGAUAACAGCGCAAUCCUAUUCUAGAGUCCCUAUCGACAAUAGGGUUUACGACCUCGAUGUUGGAUCAGGACAUCCUAAUGGCGCAACAGCUAUUAAAGGUUCGUUUGUUCAACGAUUAAAGUCCUACGUGAUCUGAGUUCAGACCGGAGCAAUCCAGGUCGGUUUCUAUCUAUAAAACUUUUCUCCCAGUACGAAAGGACAAGAGAAAUAAGGCCAACUUUACCAAAGAGCCUUGGAACAAAAUAGAUGAAUCCAUCUUAACCUAAUAUAUUCCAACAAAAAUAUAAUCCUAUAUAAGGAUUG